rnacentral:pre_miRNA from 1 species
AUAUGUUUCACCUGGGGAUCUUGUUAAAAUGCAGAUUGUCAUUCAGGAGGGCUGGCCUGUCCUGGGAUUCUGCAUUUCUAACAAGUUCCCAGGCGAUGCCGAC